UACGGAGGGUGCAAGCGUUGUUCGGAUUGACUGGGCGUAAAGGGCGUGUAGGCGGUUGGUCAAGUCUGGUGUGAAAGCCCGGGGCUUAACCCCGGAAGUGCAUUGGAAACUAGCCAGCUAGAGCGCGAGAGAGGAGGGUGGAAUUCCUGGUGUAGCGGUGAAAUGCGUAGAUAUCAGGAGGAACACCGGCGGCGAAGGCGGCCCUCUGGCUCGUUGCUGACGCUGAAACGCGAAAGCGUGGGGAGCAAACAGG
rnacentral:rRNA from 1 species